rnacentral:lncRNA from 1 species
GCCCUGAGCCCAGGAAUUCACAAGCUCCAUAAAACUGAGAGACAAAGGUAUUACCGACACCUUCAUGUGCUCAGACUCAUGAAUAAAAAUGAAUUUGCAGAAAGGAAUUUUCAGGUCUUUGGUUUCAAACAAGAAUAAGAUCUCCAGCCUGUGAAGUCUACAUGUGUUACAUGCAUUUUCCUGAGAUAUCAGUCAUAUUAAAAGCAUAAGUCACCACUGUUACCCAGCUCGGAAAGUAUAAAAAUAAAAGCGUUAGAGACUGGUGAAUAUUUCUUUUU